rnacentral:rRNA from 1 species
UACGGGGGAGGCAAGCGUUGUUCGGAUUUACUGGGCGUAAAGGGCGCGUAGGCGGCCACCGCAAGUCGACUGUGAAAUCUCCGGGCUUAACCCGGAAAGGUCAGCCGAUACUGCGGGGCUAGAGUGCAGAGGGGGCAACUGGGAAUUCUCGGUGUAGCGGUGAAAUGCGUAGAUAUCGAGAGGAACACCUGCGGCGAAGGCGGGUUGCUGGGCUGACACUGACGCUGAGGCGCGAAAGCUAGGGGAGCGAACGGG